GUCGGCUGCCAAAUCACCCUGUAGCCCAAGACUGGUGGCCCACUGAAGCUAAGCAGGGCUGAGCCUGGUCAGUACCUGGAUGGGAGACCUCCUGGGAAAACUAGGUUGCUGCUGGAA
ensembl:rRNA 5S_rRNA 5S ribosomal RNA